UGUUUCUAUGUGCUUCACAGCUUUUGUUUUUCUUUUUCUUUUUUGCUUUCGUACCAUGUGAUGUCCCUUUUAGUUUUUACUACAUUCAAAUGAAAUCCAGAUCUACUUCUUACAAAUCUAACUUUUUACUUGCUUCAUUAUCAAAUGUUGAUCCCCUGUAUGCAUAUUGAAUUUUGUUAAUGCUAUUCACUUAUCGUUUCUCCUGAUAUUGGCCAUUCUGAGGGAGUCAAACUUGGAAAUUUAGUACCAUAACCUCUCUUUAGCAAAUCAAGAAUAAAGCUGAUAAGGAACAGGAGGAAGAAGCAAGAGGAAGGAAUGAGGAGCAAGAAGAAGAAACAAGAAUUCGUUUUUACGUGGUCCGUGGUCUUUAAGACUUUCACCCACGACUGAUGUAAGGAAAAGACCAUGCUUUAAUCAAAAUUGAAUCUAAGGCUAAAUUUCGGUUGAACCCCUUAAAAGGACCCUUCACCAUGAAACUCGAUUCGAUGUCAAAAGAAAAGCAGUUUUAAGAAAAUUUAAUGAGUAGUAGUCAAUUCUAUAAUUUCAGUUAAUGGUGACGCAAAUAAGUGGGGUUAUAUUUGAUUUGGACAUGGUCGAAUAGGUAUCAGUACAAUUAAGUCCUGGAUGGUGGUGUUGUGUACUCGCUGGUUUUAUCCCCAUUUUCCAUUCCCCACUUCGCAACUAAUCAUCUCACCUGCAAUUGAAACCCCAACCCUACUUUGUAGCUUUUCUUGUUGGACUCCAUAUAUUAAUUAACAUUUAUCAUUCACGACCAAGUGGGCAUUGAUUAAAAUUUCCAAGCAACCCCCAUUGCCCUUUCAUGCGUUGCAACUUUUCGUUUUUCAUUAGGGCCACAUUCUCAAUGGUGGGUUUCCCUUAGUUUUCAUGCUAUUUGCUUCGGCCAGUUGCUUGCUUAAAGAAAUUUAAUCAACAAAUUGUUUUUGUUUUUGUUUUUUUUUUCUUUGGGCGGGGGGUGUCAAAUCCUAAAAACAAGUUCAAAGUCUCUGAUGAAAUUUGUGUCAAUUCCAUUUUCUAUUUUUUGGUACAUUAACAUUAUUCUGUGAAAAGAACCAAAUAAUUCAAUAAUGAACGAUGAAUGUAAUUCUAUCUCAUACUGGUUCCACCUUCUUGCUUGACUCAAGAACAUGAUGCAAUCCAACUUUCCCAUUUUACAUAUCUCUUUAUCUUUAUCUCUUUUGAAUAUGGAAAUGACUCCACUUCCUUAAUCAUCCCACUACUUACAAACACUGUAUGCGUUGAGCUAUGUACGUCUCAGUUUGGUGAGUGCCUCUUAUCUUGUCUCACGUUAAACAACCAAGUCCCUAACUUUUUGUUCUUUUGCUUUGUCAAACGUCGUUCAUUAUCUUUGGAUUACAAGAUGAGACCGCAUCUGCAACUGUGAGAAAGAUAUUGUCUUGGCCUAUUAAAUCAACAAACUCCGAUGCGUGUAGUUUGUGCAUCACCACGGGCCCUGGAUUUGCUAGAAUGAGCUGUUUCCAUUUACCAACAUAUCUUCAGGCUCCCAUUUAGCUCUUCCAAAGCAUGUAUGCCACUGGUGUCUAUGUCAGUAACAGCUUCAGCAUAAAACACAAACAGUAUUUAGUUUCAUUCCCAACAGUGUCUCAAAUGUUAGGUCCAAAAUGCUUUAAACAGAUACUCACGUGACAUUUCAACUAUUAGAAACUGGAUUUUGUUCUGGUAUAACUUUUUUGUUUGUUCUUCCUCAUCAACCAGCCAUCUCAAUAUCCUGUAAAGACAAUGAACUUCAGCAUCAUUUCUCAAUAUAUACAAAUACAUGUUGCUUAUCAA